rnacentral:rRNA from 1 species
CUGAGAGGAUGACCAGCCACACUGGAACUGAGACACGGUCCAGACUCCUACGGGAGGCAGCAGUGGGGAAUAUUGCACAAUGGGCGCAAGCCUGAUGCAGCCAUGCCGCGUGUAUGAAGAAGGCCUUCGGGUUGUAAAGUACUUUCAGCGGGGAGGAAGGGAGUAAAGUUAAUACCUUUGCUCAUUGACGUUACCCGCAGAAGAAGCACCGGCUAACUCCGUGCCAGCAGCCGCGGUAAUACGGAGGGUGCAAGCGUUAAUCGGAAUUACUGGGCGUAAAGCGCACGCAGGCGGUUUGUUAAGUCAGAUGUGAAAUCCCCGGGCUCAACCUGGGAACUGCAUCUGAUACUGGCAAGCUUGAGUCUCGUAGAGGGGGGUAGAAUUCCAGGUGUAGCGGUGAAAUGCGUAGAGAUCUGGAG